rnacentral:rRNA from 1 species
CGCAUUCUGUGCAUGCAGCAUAUCAAUAAGCGGAGGAAAAGGCUGCGGAACUGAACGACCGAUACCUACGCUUAGGAUGUUGACGAGACUGUCGAUCUCAUCUAUACAUGACUCUGUGCAUAUCAAUAAGCGGAGGAAAAGCAUACAUUACCUACGCUUAGGAUGUUGACGAGACUGUCGAUCUCAUCUAUACAUGACUCUGUGCAUAUCAAUAAGCGGAGGAAAAGAAACUAACAAGGAUUCCCCUAGUAACGGCGAGUGAAGCGGGAAGAGCUCAAAUUUGAAAUCUUAAAGGGUUUCCCUUUACGAAUUGUAGUUUAAAGAAGUGUUUUCUGUUGAGGUUUUGGUAAAAGUUCUUUGGAAUAGGACAUCAUAGAGGGUGAGAAUCCCGUACUUGACCUUUACUUUCAACUUUGUGAUACACUUUCAAAGAGUCGGAUUGUUUGGGAAUGCAGUCCAAAAUGGGUGGUAAAUUUCAUCUAAAGCUAAAUAUUGGCGAGAGACCGAUAGCGAACAAGUACCGUGAGGGAAAGAUGAAAAGAACUUUGAAAAGAGAGUUAAACAGUACGUGAAAUUGUCAAAAGGGAAGCGUUUGACACCAGUGUUGUUUUUCUGAAAAUCAAUUAAAGAACUGUUUAUGCUAAGCUGUUUAGACUUUAUCAGCUAACUGUUUAGUUUUGAGCUUUUCUUUAAUGCACUUUUCAGUUAACAAGUCAACAUCAAUUUCUUUUGCUGUAAAAAAGCUUGAGGAAGGUGGCUUGAGAUUCGUCUUAAGUGUUUAUAGCCUCUUGCCUAUGCAGUCGGAGAGAUUGAGGUCUGCAGCGUAGAUCCUUCGGGGCUAAAUGCAUUUGUGCUAAGUUAUAGCAUUUUAUAGACAACUUGUUGACUAUGAUUUGUCUUGUAGCUUACUCGCUUAUGUUAUUUUACCUACGCUUAGGAUGUUGACGAGACUGUCGAUCUC